GAUAAGAAAUGACUAAUAUUUUGUAAAUCUUAACAAUUUAAAUAAUGAAUAAUAAAAAUUAAUAUAUAAAAUUGAAGAAAAAUACAUGUGGGUAUAAAUAAUAUAAAUUAAAGGAACCAAAAUAGGAGGAAAAAAAUUAUAAAUUUAAUUAACAUAUGUAAAGAUGCAGUUCAAUAGUCAAGUUCGGAGAAUUUGAUGCCUUGAAAUUGUAAAAUUAAAAACUUAAUAACUUAAAAGUGUGCAUAUUGUUACCUAAUAAA
rnacentral:misc_RNA from 1 species